GCCUGGGUGGCUCAGUCAGUUGAGCGGCCGACUUCGGCUUAGGUCAUGAUCUUGUGGUCUGUGAGUUCAAGCCCCGCCUCGGGCU
rnacentral:tRNA from 1 species